rnacentral:lncRNA from 1 species
AACACAAUUUAAAGGUAAAACAAAAUUGUAAAACAGGUUAGAAUAACCGGUUUAUACACAUUGUAAAAAUAAGACGAGGUUCGGUUAAGGGGUUUUAUGGUAAAAAAAAACACUGUAGUAUUACAAAAUCAUAAACUGUGCGAAGUUGUAAAUCUGUGACAAUAGGCAAACAUGGUCAAAACCUCAUAACUAAAUCAACAUCGGUGUAAGCCACUAAGGAAUGAUAUUAAAGCUUCCAUAAAUAUGUAUUUCAGAUGAG